UGAGGUCUGGUUACUAAAAACCCUACUUUCUUGCCCUAUAAUUAGUUCUUCCCUCACCCCUUCUAGCCAUUGGAAUCCCAUGGCUAUCAAGAUCCAGGACAUUUCCAAGACUAUCAACAACGCCAAUAUUCAUAUUUUUUCACUGCAUGGGUCGUUUAAUUGGGAACAAGUUAUUUCAGGAUUAGGUGUGUUUCUAACUUUCUCAAGCCUGAUCUGUGGUGCAAUUUAGGUGUGUUUUUCUUUCGAUCUCUAAUGCCUAUAUAUGCUUUUCUAUCACGUCAUCUUUUAUGAGAUUAUGUUAGAGAAAUGAAGUUUUGAUAAUUGACGUAUGUGAAUGAAACAUGUUAUUCAUGCUGGUCCUCACAUGUGAAGAACAUUGAAUUGGGUGCAAGACUGAUGAUAAAAUAAUGUGUGAAGUCAGGAGUGGAUAAGCAAGUAAAUUCGCUGUCAACAUUUAUCACGUUCAGAAAAGAGGGUGAGAGUAAGAUAAACACAACACUUGAAGAUUGAACAAAUAAAGGAAUCCUACCUAGUCAAGGAGACAUAAUGCAAUAAGGAGUGUAACUAACUGAUAGAGUCCUAUUGAAGAAAGAAGAUCACAUUAUCUAAAUUCAUCAGAGUUGACUUAAAUAGAAGAAAUGUUUUCAAAAGAGUUUCACUCAAGCACUAAUAAGAAAAACAUCAAUCAACAAAUUCGUUCACUAGCUUGAAGAAGAACCUGUUCCUUUAUUUAGACAGUUGUAGACUUUAUGUAAUAGGCUGGUUCUUUGAGUUGUAAUGAGCUUUAGUUGUAGACUUUGUGUAAUAGGUUGGUUCUUUGAGUUGUAAUAAGCUUUAAUUUUAGUCUCAGUGAAAUAUAAACUGAGUUAGGAAUUGCGUCUUCAAGUUAGGGAACUCGAAGAUUUGGGAACACUUAUCUUUGGAAGAUUUGUGUUAUUGUAGAAAUAGGAG
rnacentral:lncRNA from 1 species